UACAGAGGUCUCAAGCGUUGUCCGGAAUCAUUGGGCGUAAAGCGCGCGUAGGCGGCCAGAUAAGUCCGGUGUGAAAGUCACAGGCUCAACCUGUGAAUGCCGCUGGAAACUGUCUGGCUAGAGUCCGGAAGGGGCGAGUGGAAUUCCUGGUGUAGCGGUGAAAUGCGCAGAUAUCAGGAGGAACACCCGUGGCUAAGGCGGCUCUCUAGUACGGUACUGACGCUGAGACGCGAAAGCGUGGGGAGCGAACAGG
rnacentral:rRNA from 1 species